GGUGAACGCUGGCGGCGUGCCUAAGACAUGCAAGUCGAGCGGGGCAGGUUUAUACCUGUUCAGCGGCGGACGGGUGAGUAACGCGUGGGUGACCUACCCGGAAGAGGCGGACAACCUGGGGAAACCCAGGCUAAUCCGCCAUGUGGUCCUGUCCUGUGGGGCAGGACUAAAGGGGCGACCCGCUUCCGGAUGGGCCCGCGUCCCAUCAGCUAGUUGGUGGGGUAAAGGCCCACCAAGGCGACGACGGGUAGCCGGUCUGAGAGGAUGGCCGGCCACAGGGGAACUGGGACCCGGGCCCCACUCCAACGGGAGGCGGAGUUUAGAAAUCUCCGGAAAUGGACGGAGGUCUAACGGGGCAAGGCGGCUUGAGGAGGAAGCCCUUCGGGGUGUAAACUCCUGAACUGGGGACGAAAGCCCCGUGUAGGGGGAUGACGGUACCCAGGUAAUAGCGCCGGCCAACUCCGUG
rnacentral:rRNA from 1 species